rnacentral:misc_RNA from 1 species
GUCCCCAUGGUCUCUGAUAAUUUUCCUGACAUGCUCAGGCGGCAUGUCUUCUUUCUGCGUCUCAACGAACCCAAACUUUCUCUUAUCACUGUACCUCUUCGUAUUAAGCUGCUGCCAUUUACGGGCCUUUUCUUCCAGCUUUGCCUCCACCUCAGCCGGCGUUGGAGGUGUUUGCUGUGCAAGCACAGUAUAGGAAGGCUGUGCCGGAACAGGCGGUGGCGGCACCGAAGGACCACCUGUCCCCGGCGGCGCGAUAUGCGCCUCUCCAUUAUUG